GACGAACGCUGGCGGCGUGCCUAAUACAUGCAAGUCGAACGGUCUUUUCUAUGGAAGCUUGCUUCCACUGGGAAGAUAGUGGUGGACGGGUGAGUAACACGUGGGUAACCUGUUUAUAAGAGGGGGAUAACAUCCGGAAACGGGUGCUAAUACCGCAUAAUUCUUUCUUCGCCUGAAGGGAAGAUGAAAGACGCUUUUGCGUCACUGAUGGAUGGACCCGCGCUGCAUUAGCUAGUUGGUGGGUAACGGCUCACCAAGGCUACGAUGCAUAGCCGACCUGAGAGGGUGAUCGGCCACACUGGGACUGAGACACGGCCCAGACUCC
rnacentral:rRNA from 1 species